UAAAGCUGUGAGUUCCACCAUCACACAAGAGUCGAUGCUUAUGGGUUCUCUUUCUGGGAGGUAGUGAUGGUACCUUUGCACAAUAAGAAGAUGAUUGAAAAUGAAUGUCAAUGAACCCAGUAACCUGCUACUAUAUGCCUAAAAGGUGAUAAAUGAGGAUCAUCAUGGUCAGCAUAAUUAUUUGGAUGACUUGCGGUUAGCAACACUCAACUCUCCAGCAGGAGACAGGAAUAGGAGCUUGGACUUAACACCUUCUAAAAGUUUACAGCCCAUGGUGCAUUGAAUCCGGGUGCUGGCAAGAGCAGUGAGUGGCCAAGACUGCAACAAUCCCAACAUUCCCUGCCAGGGUUUGUCUUUUCACUCUGUCUCCACAUAAGUUUCGGCAUGUAUAUGCCUUCAAUGGACCCAAAUUACAACUUGCUGGAAAAGCAAUUUUCCUAUAAUCACUAAGAUAAGCUGUAAAUCUGUCACGAACAGCUGAUGCAAACUACAUCCCGAGAUCAGAGUGCUGAGCCGAUCACUUACUGCUCUCUGACUUACACUAGCAUCUCAAAAAUGUUUUUGUGAGUGAAAAUUUGGUGGCGCAUUGCAUGUUGAAUGACAAAUGUUUCCAUUUCCAGUGGUUUAACAUUCUACAUUACCUUUAUUUGUCGACCACGGGGGGUUAUGUUUAUAUCUAAGACUUGCAACUUCGUCGGCGUGUGGCUGUUGCAUUCUUUGCUUGCCGGAGAGUUGGACUGGAUGCACGACAUCCCGGCAAGUGGGGGCUCGAAGCUUGGCCCGUGUAUGGUUUGGGGAGCCUAUCGUGUCCCGUGAACUCGGCUGAGCCUGCAGCUCCAGGUGCGACUUGGAUAAGUUUGAUUGGUAGAGAGAUUGUAUCUUGUUCUAUGAUCUGGAGAUGUGGCCUCCCAUGAAUUAUGAGAAUGUAUGGUUGGAUUUUUGCCAUGUAAUUGUUGGGUGGUAUUGCCUUCUCGUUUCUCCCUUUGUACGGUUAAAACAUGGACUAGGCAGCUCUAAUAAUACCACUUCUUAUGAGUCCGAAGCUUUGUCAUCGGAUUCAAAAGUUUAUUCUUCUGUAGAUA